AGCAACAUGAGCUCAGUAGUAAUAAAAUAAAACAAUGCCAAUGGAAACUCGCAAAUCAAAUCAGUAUACCUCAGGUUAUGAAUGUAGUAAUGCUGAUGCUACAUGAUCAUCAAAUCUUCAUGAUAAUAGAGAACAACAUCAAAGACCUGCAAAGACAAGAGAACAAACAACAGAAAAGUAACCAAGAACAACAUACCUCCUUGUCUGAAACUUCCUUGUCUGCAGAUCCAAAAUCGUAUAUGCAUAUAAAUACACCAAUGAGAUUCAGUUCUGUAUGUUGCAGACUGGUAAUAAUAAGUCUAUAUUUGGUCGAGAAGCAACAUGAGCUAUCAAAUAAAACAGAUGCCAAACUCGCAAAUCAGAUCAGUAUACCUCAGGUUAUAAAUGUAGAAAUGCUGAUGCUACAUGAUCCUUCUCCUUUUUGAUAAUAGAUAAGAACAUCAAUGACCUGCAAAGACAAUAUAUAUAUACUAAUAUAACCAAAAUAAAAAACAACAGAGAAGUAGAACAAGCAUACCUUCUCCUAUCAGAAGGCCUGAAAAACCAUAUAAGAAGGGAGAUAUAAAGGAGACAGAGAGAAGCACGAAUACUCAUUACAAAACCAAAGAGAGUAAUACUAACCAAAUACGUGAAUCAUAAGUCCAACAUUGGCUUGCAUCAAUCGUAUACUCUUAUGUAUAGCAGACAUGUUAUUCUAUGUGGUCGGGAAUACGCUUACGAGAUUCAAUGAAGACACAAAUCGAAUCAAAACACAAUAAACUCAACUUGUAAGACACAAGACAUCAACAACAAGAAGAGAUAGAGCUGUACCGUGAAGGGAAAAGAGGAAGAAGACGAACCAGAAGAAGACGAACCAAAAGCAGAGGUUAGAUCGCCACCACGUCUCAAGCCUCGAUCGCCACCACGUCUCAAGCCACAGCACCCUAUGAUCGCCACCAUGUCUCAAGCCACAGCACCCUAUGAUCGCCACCAUGUCUCAAGCCUCAGCAUUCUAUGAUCGCCAUGUUUGCAUAUCUUGAUCAUCAAACCGAAUCUCAGAACAACAAAUCAACCAGAGGAAAUCUAUAAAGGUCGAAGCUUUACACCAACGAUGAAUCAGAGAAUCGAAAGCGAAGAGGGAUCUUGGAUCUUGCAUCGGUUGUGUUCUUGGUUGCCCUGAUUGUGCCAACAUGCAAGUUUGUUCCGGCAAUUGCGGCGAUGACAACAUAUCUGUGGUAAGUGAUAAGCAUUCUAGACCUCUCACGUUUAAACACUGUCCUUGUGCGACUUUUCCUGAUCCUGAUGAUGACUAUUUUCACGUCUCUCAAGAAAAUUUCUGUGCACGGUACAGUCUCGCUGCACCUGAAGUCAACUCCGUAUUCUGACUUCGAUGUCCCAAUGAAAUUACUAUACACCACUUUGCUCACUUCCACUGCCGAAGAACGAAGAAGCGUUGAGUUGAGAGAAAGAGUAUAUAUUAAUAUUUAUAAGCAAAAUUCAUUAAGAGGUUUAAAAGAAAAGGAAAUUAAUAAUUAUCUCAAUCAUAACGGUUAUAUUAAUAUGAGUUUAAGGAAAUCAAUACCGAGAUUUUGUUUUUGUUAAUUUUCUUAUAUCCAAAAUUUGUUAAUAUGACAGUUACUAUCGAUAGACUUAGUUUAGUAUCUUCUUAGAUAGUAUAUGUGUGAUACGAUACCAAAGUUCUGCGAAACAAAGAUUUUAUAAGCAGGUCACAGUAUCAAAGUUCCUCACUAGUUAGAAACAAAAAUCACAGAUAAACAAAUUUUGGAUGAUUGGAAACAGCAGAAUCAUUCCUAUAACAUUCACAAUCUUAACACCAACAUUGUCUUCAACUCAUCAAAGCAUCGCUAAGCUCCAGACAGGCCAAGAAGGAAAAGGAGAAAAACAGAUGGACUAGCACGCAUUCAUUACUCCAAUUUCUCGAGUUCUGACAUCCUUUCGAUGAUCGCCUGCAAGUAAAAAAUUGUUCCCAGCAUUUAAAAGUUAGCGGUUGUGCAAAGGAGUGUGUUAGUGAAAGAGGAAAGCUUGAAAUCAAAAAUCCAUACCCUUUUGCUUGUUUCUUGAAGCUCCCCAGCAAGAAUGAAUUCAUCGAGUAUCAGAUACACCUUUUAAUUGAAAUCACAGGGAAUUAGUUAGCAAGUAUUAGAGUACAAAAACAGAUCAAACCUAGACACACAGAAGCAUCCAUAUAGUUAGACACAAAUGGGGAAUGCUUUUGAGAAUGCUGCAGAUAUAUAUUUAUCUAACAGGUCAUGAUGGUCAGCUUAGAAUUGGGACAAAUACAAAGAGAAAAGAAUGAAACUAGCUUUUAAUUUUAGCAAACACAUGAUAAUAGAGAACAACAUCAAAGACCUGCAAAGACUAUAUAUAUAUACUAAUAACCAAAAUCAAAAACAAGAGAACAAACAACAGAGAAG
rnacentral:lncRNA from 1 species